AUUGAACGCUGGCGGGAUGCCUAACACAUGCAAGUCGAACGAGUGGCGGACGGGUGAGUAAUAUCUGGGAAACUGCCCGAUGGAGGGGGAUAACUACUGGAAACAGUAGCUAAUACCGCAUACCAUCGGAUGUGCCGAGAUGGGAUUAGCUAGUGGGUGGGGUAAAGGCUCACCUAGGCGACGAUCCCUAGCUGGUCUGAGAGGAUGACCAGCCACACUGGAACUGAGACACGGUCCAGACUCCUACGGGAGGCAACAGUGGGGAAUAUUGGACAAUGGGGGCAAGCCUGAUGCAGCCAUGCCGCGUGUAUGAAGAAGGCCUUCGGGUUGUAAAGUACUUUCAGCGAGGAGGCGUUACUCACAGAAGAAGCACCGGCUAACUCCGUGCCAGCAGCCGCGGUAAUAC
rnacentral:rRNA from 1 species